AGAGAAUAGAUACCCGGGUAGUCCACGCCGUAAACGGUGGGAACUAGGUGUUGGCGACAUUCCACGUCGUCGGUGCCGCAGCUAAACGCAUUAAGUUCCCCGCCUGGGGAGUACGGCCGCAAGGCUAAAACUCAAAGGAAUUGACGGGGGCCCGCACAAGCGGCGGAGCAUGUGGCUUAAUUCGACGCAACGCGAAGAACCUUACCAAGGCUUGACAUACACCGGGAAAGCAUUAGAGAUAGUGCCCCCCGUUCGUGGUCGGUGUACAGGUGGGUUGCAUGGCGUGUCGUCAGCUCGUGUCGUGAGAUGUUGGG
rnacentral:rRNA from 1 species